AUGGAGUGGCUUUACGGGGCCAGUGAAAGCAGCAACAUGGAGGUGGACAUCGGCUACAUACCCCAGAUGGAGCUGGAGGCCACGGGCCCCUCUGUGCCCUCCGUGAUCCUGGAUGAGGAUGGCAGCAUGAUCGACAGCCACCUGCCCUCAGGGGAGCCCCUGCAGUUUGUGUUUGAGGAGAUCAAGUGGCAGCAGGAGCUGAGCUGGGAGGAGGCUGCCCGGCGCCUGGAGGUGGCCAUGUACCCCUUCAAGAAGAGGGAAAUCUGGUGCUCCUCCAGAUGGCCUGAUAUGAAGGAGUCACGCCUCCCGCCUCCCGGAGCUGCCCAGUGGCUGCCUUGUCCUUCAAGUGCAGGAGCUGGUUCAAAUGUCAGGAAUGGAAGCCACUGUGGUAAGGGGCAUUCCCAGGGCAGGGGUAUGGUGGGGAAGGUUGGGUGCUGGGCCUGCUGAAGUACUGUAUAAGGUUCUGAGACUCUCCAGUUGAGCACUCCUUUCUCCAGAGGCCUGGAAUUGGAGCAAGGCCACCGUUUCACUCCCUCCCCCUAAGAAGAACCAACUAUGAUCCUGGGGC
rnacentral:sRNA from 1 species